CAUGGAUAAUUGAAUCUCGCAAGUCUUCGAGUUUCACACAAGUCCGUCAUCCUUCUGCUGCCAACAGAGUGCAGUGCCCGCAAUUGGCGGCUAAUUGAGCUGCGCAGGAAGCAGCCAUGUCAUCACUUGGUGUCACACGGCUCCGCAAGCAGCCAUGUCGCCACUUGGUGCGAUACGAGUAUUAACCCCUUGAUCGAGUCGUCUAGACCUCGUAUGGAUCCCAUGGUCGAAUGGUCUGCACCUCUCCCGGGCUUUCGUGAACCCCUUGGACCUCCUGGACCUCUUUCCCCGUAGUCACACCUGACUCCAAGUGUCGCUGCUUUGACUAGAAGAGAAGAACUUGAAGAACUUGAAGAAGGACUAGAAGAGAAGAACUUGAAGAACUUGAAAAAGAACUUGAAGAAGAACUUGCACCGAUGGAAUCUCUCUCUCUAGCGGAACUUCCAGCCCCUUCUCUCGCCAGAAACGCGAAACGACAUCUGACCGUUCUCUAAUAAACAGUUCC
rnacentral:misc_RNA from 1 species